AUGGCGAUGGCGUCCUUUCGCCCCCUUCCUCUCGCGCUCCUGCUCGCCGCGUGCCUCUCCGCGCUCGUGCUGGCCGUGGCGCACGCGCGGACCCCACGGCUGGAGCCCACCAUCCGGCUGCCGUCGCAGCGCGCCGGCGGGCAGGAGGACGAUGGCUCCAUCGGGACCAGGUGGGCCGUCCUCAUCGCCGGCUCCAACGGCUACUACAACUACCGCCACCAGGCGGAUAUCUGCCACGCCUACCAGAUCAUGAAGAAGGGUGGUCUCAAGGAUGAGAACAUCAUCGUAUUCAUGUACGAUGACAUUGCGCACAACCCGGAGAACCCGAGGCCGGGCGUCAUCAUCAACCACCCCCAGGGUGGAGAUGUCUAUGCUGGGGUCCCUAAGGACUACACUGGAAAGGAGGUUAAUGUCAAGAACUUCUUUGCUGUCCUGCUCGGUAAUAAAACCGCGGUGAGUGGUGGGAACGGCAAAGUUGUGGACAGUGGCCCUAAUGAUCACAUUUUUGUGUUUUACAGUGACCAUGGGGGUCCUGGGGUCCUUGGGAUGCCUACCUAUCCAUACCUUUACGGUGACGAUCUUGUAGAUGUCCUGAAGAAAAAGCACGCUGCUGGAACCUACAAAAGCCUGGUAUUUUACCUUGAAGCCUGCGAAUCUGGGAGCAUCUUUGAGGGACUUCUGCCAAAUGACAUCGGUGUCUAUGCGACCACCGCUUCGAAUGCAGAGGAAAGCAGUUGGGGAACGUAUUGCCCCGGCGAGUACCCGAGCCCUCCGCCGGAAUAUGACACUUGCUUGGGCGACCUGUACAGCAUUUCUUGGAUGGAAGACAGUGAUGUCCACAACCUGAGAACUGAAUCUCUCAAGCAGCAGUAUAACCUGGUCAAGAAGAGAACGGCAGCUCAGGACUCAUACAGCUAUGGUUCCCAUGUGAUGCAAUACGGUUCUUUGGACCUGAAUGCUGAACAUUUGUUCUCGUACAUUGGGUCAAACCCUGCUAACGAGAACACUACAUUUGUUGAAGAUAACGCACUGCCAUCAUUCUCAAGAGCUGUUAAUCAGAGGGAUGCUGAUCUUGUUUAUUUCUGGCAGAAGUACCGGAAAUUGGCCGAGAGCUCCCCUGAGAAAAACGAUGCUCGGAAGCAAUUGCUUGAAAUGAUGGGUCAUAGAUCUCAUAUUGACAACAGCAUCGAGCUGAUUGGAAACCUUCUGUUUGGUUCUGCGGGUGGUCCGAUGGUUCUAAAGGCUGUUCGCCCAGCUGGUGAGCCUCUUGUUGAUGACUGGAGUUGUCUCAAGUCUACGGUGCGCACUUUUGAAUCACAAUGUGGCUCACUGGCGCAGUAUGGAAUGAAGCACAUGCGGCCCUUUGCAAACAUCUGCAAUGCCGGCAUUGUUCCUGAAGCGACGGCAAAGGUUGCUGCUCAGGCAUGCACGAGCAUCCCAACCAACCCCUGGAGUGCCACACACAAGGGUUUUAGUGCUUAA
rnacentral:rRNA from 1 species